rnacentral:lncRNA from 1 species
AUAAUGAUAAAAAAUAAAUAAGUGGUUAUAUUCAUUGUUUACAUUCAACAAUUUUGUUUUGGUCUGGGGAUUCAAUACUAUUAUAUAGUGUUAUAUUAUACCAUUGUACAGUUUCGAGGCUAUCAUAAGAAUUAUGUAAAAAUCCAAACCGUUUGGACAAACUAUCGUUACAUGUUUUCUUUAAUUUUUAAAAUCGUCAUAUAUGAAACAGAUAGUUUUACUGAUAGGUCAAUAACUGGUAAACAAGAACUGGUAUAUUGAGGAAAGAAAUCAAUUUUUUUUUCUGGUUUUAAUGAUAUUUAAUAACAAGGUAACAAACUUUUAAAAUUUUGUGUAUGCAUCAUUCAAAUUUAUUGAUAAAAAAAAUCAACAACAGGUUUCAGAAGAUUCAAUCAAUAAAAAAUUUCAACUUCACCUAGCAUUCUAUUUACCACAUUCAAGUUUUUCUUUUUACCAUUUUGGCAACUUGAUUUUUUUUAUCUAUUGAGGCACUAUGGUAUUUUAUUUUGGCAAUUUUUCGUCAAUUUUAGAAUACUCUUAGAAUAACUGCAAAAUGAUAUGAUUUCAUGGAGUUAAUUUGUUUUUAACAUAAAAUGUAGUUCUAUCAUAUGAAACAUAACCCAGGUUUUUAACAGGUUUAGAACUAUUUGAUGUUAAUUCAAUUGUAAAAGCUUUGAAUUCAGAAAUAUAAAUUCAAAGAAUGUGAAAUGCUUUGAAUAGAGUGAAAAACUUUGUCUUGCAAGACUAGAUAUGAGACACUGAUAUACAGAUCGGUCAUUAUUACAAAUUAUGAUGAACUCAUAUUUAUAUUUCAAGCACUGAAUGAUACUAUAACAAUUAUAAUGCAGGAAAAACAAAUAAAUCUGAUGUAUGACAUAUUAUAACAUAUGUAUUCUAUGUUUGAAAAAUCUUUCUACUUAACUUGGACUAACAACAAUUCUACUAAUUUCUAUGAUCUUUGUAUCUAAAUGUCUAUCAAAGUGUUGUAAUAUAAGUAUUACUUAUAGUGUAAAUAUGUUCUUAAUAAUGUUUCUGUGAAAUAUUAGUUUAUACUCAGGAAUUAUUGCUUUAAAACAACUAUUUUUUAUAAACUCUUGUAAACAUAAAUUAAUUAUUCAGUAAAGGGUUGUUAUGUGUCAUUUUUUCCUUUUGCAUUUGUUGGUUAUGUAUUGCUAUUCUAUUGUUUCAUUUAAACAUUAAAAUUAUUCAAAAUCGUUUCUCUGUUUGUUAACAGAUACUAAAUUAAAAACUUUGUUUAUGUCAUUUUGUUUGUUUGUGCAGUCUUCUUACCUUCAGACUAAAUGUCAAUCUAACAAAAUUAUGAAUGACCUCCGUCUCCUAUGUUAUCCCAAAUGAUAGACAGUUUUUACUACCUUCAGUAAAAGUUUAUAUUUUCACAUUUUUUUUUACAAUUUUUUUUUUUUGUGAGGGACUAAAAUUCAAGAAACCCUUGGAAAUUUUUCACAUAAGCAGUAUUCUGAAUGGGGUUAAACACUAUGCCGAUUUCCUUCAAAAUGUAGAUACUGAUAAAAUAUAUGAAAUAAAUACAGUUGUCAUUGAUCAUUCAUAACUUAAUUCAUUUGAACUGUCUCCAUCCCUUUUAAAACAACAUGUAUGACAUAUAAACACAAUAUAAAAAUAUAUAAAGCUUUGAGGUAAUACAAAAACAACUUGUGGACAAAUCACAGUAAAAAAAAAAGACUAUCACAG